GAGAGCGCGUGCGCUGGGCGGGAGGCAGAGCCAAAACCGUAACAGCCAGAGCUAGAGACUCCGGCCUGGGGUUCUGGCUCUGUCCCGUAUCAGCUAGGAAACCCAGGGCAAGCUACUUAAACUCUCAGAGGCUCAGCUUUUUCAUGAGCAAACAGGAAAACAGGGCUAAUGAUUAGUCCUUGGCUUAAAAUACAUACCGCGUGUGAAAUUGCAGGUAUAUAAUAGAUUCACUAAAUGAGAGCACAAAUAAUGUAUGUUUUCUGAACCAUCUGAGGGCGAGUUAUCAACACUUACUCUCCAAUGCGUCAUCACCCCCAACACUCCUGUGUAUUUCCUGCAAAUAAGGAUCUUCUCCUACAUGGUCAGUCCGAACAACCUUCAGUCACAACUGAGAAGGUCACAUGGUGCAUCACUGCCGCUCAGUCUCCCCAAGCCCAGUGAUUUCUUCACAAUUAGGGAUCUGAGACCCGCAGUAUGGCAGUGACAAGAUCCAAGUCUUGGGACACCUAGCCAGGAGGGAAGAAUUUGAGGGAGAGGUGGAAAAUAUGCGAGGCUGAACUGACCUUCAAGGACAAGAAGGCUGUGUUCAGAUAGACAGAGUUUGUCUUCUGGGAGAGGAGUGGGCUUAUCCAGGAUGAUCCCAAAGGCAGAUUGAGGACCAGUGGGAGGACAUCCUGAGAAAGCAGAUCCAGCUUUAGGCAAGGAAGGACUUCGUAACAGGCAGAGAGCCCAUGUUGGAAACAAGCAGCUCUGCAAGGUGUGGGCCCACUGUCUGACUCCCUGCGGGGCUGCUGCCUUGGAAGAGCCUCCUGCUUAGAGAGGUUCUCCUGCCGCCAGCUGUCUCUCCUGAGUCCUGAGCACCACAUCUCUGGACCGUCUGGAGCCUCCCCUCCCUUGGCUUACUGCUCCCACCACCCUCUCUCUCCACCUUGCAAGAGACACUCUCCCUCAUCCUGGGUCAUCACCCUCUUUAGAGGCGCCGCCUGGCCACGAGGUUGGAUAUGGGGGGUGGGCAGGAUCUUGGCCUUACUUGAUGCAGUGCACACCUCCAACAGGCAUCAGAUGGAGUGCAGCCGGGAGCAAGAUUCUCAUAGCAAUUACAAAGAUUCACAAGAAAAUGUGCCCUCCACUACACAGCUGUAAUUUACAUGCUUUCAAACUUGAUAUGGAAUGACUGUGGUUUCCCCUGAAAGAAGCAUCACUGAUCUCUGCACAGGAGAAACAAGGAUCUUGCUCUGUCACCUAGGCUGGAGUGCAAUGGCACACUCACGGCUCACUGCAGCGUCAAACUCCCAGGCUCAAGUGUUCCUCCUACCUCAGCCUCCUGAGUAGCUAGGACCACAGGCCCAGACACAAAGCAGAUGUGCAGUGGAGUGUGAAAGAGGCAGCCAACUCACUGGGGAGCUUCAGAGGGAGAUGGCCCAAAUUGCUGGGGCCUAAGAAUCUCCCGGAAUGAAGGAACAGUAGAAAGAACUGGAAGCCAAAUAUGGUGAUAGAGACUCUCAUCAAGGACACUGAGUAAACCAGAAACCUGCUUGGGCUCACGUUCCUUGUCUCUUCUUCUCAGAUCCAGGAAAGGAGCUGUCCAGGACAAUGAGGAUAGGCUGAGGAAAGACAGGCCACGGCCUUGCCUCUGUGCCAGCUCUCAUGGGCCAGGCAGAGUAUCCCAGGACAACUGCCUCCACAACCAGCUCCAUCCUUCAUCAGCAAUUCAGUACCUGAUUAACAAAUCUGUACCCCAGGAGGUUAUGCCAAGUCCAACUUCUUCCAGAGACCACAACAAUAAAUCCAAGCCACUGCUAAUGUCAUUUAUAAGCUGUGGGAUUAAAACAGAGAAGCAAUCAAUUAAUUAAAAUUAGCUCUUUAUUGAAA
ensembl:lncRNA novel transcript